AUUUUUCAGUAUGAUGAUUUCAUAGUUCAGUUGACAAACUAUGAUGAAACUAAUAGCAAUUUGUCUUUCGCUCCUAUCUGAUGGAUAAU